GCCAGGUGCGGUGGUGCACACCUGUAAUCCCAGCAGCUCAGGAGGCUGAGGCAGGAAAAUUGUGAAUUCAAAGCCAACCUCAGCAAAAGCGAGGUGCUAAUAAGCAACUUAGUGAGACCCUGUCUCUA
rnacentral:sRNA from 1 species